UGGGGAAUAUUGGGCAAUGGGCGAAAGCCUGACCCAGCAACGCCGCGUGAAGGAAGAAGCUUUCGGGUUGUAAACUUCUUUUGACAGGGAAGAGCAGAAGACGGUACCUGUCGAAUAAGCCACGGCUAACUACGUGCC
rnacentral:rRNA from 1 species